GAUGAACGCUGGCGGCGUGCCUAAUACAUGCAAGUCGAGCGAACAGACGAGGAGCUUGCUCCUUUGACGUUAGCGGCGGACGGGUGAGUAACACGUGGAUAACCUACCUAUAAGACUGGGAUAACUUCGGGAAACCGGAGCUAAUACCGGAUAACAUGUUGAACCGCAUGGUUCAACAGUGAAAGCCGGUUUUGCUGUCACUUAUAGAUGGAUCCGCGCCGCAUUAGCUAGUUGGUAAGGUAACGGCUUACCAAGGCAACGAUGCGUAGCCGACCUGAGAGGGUGAUCAGCCACACUGGAACUGAGACACGGUCCAGACUCCUACGGGAGGCAGCAGUAGGGAAUCUUCCGCAAUGGGCGAAAGCCUGACGGAGCAACGCCGCGUGAGUGAAGAAGGUCUUCGGAUCGUAAAGCUCUGUUAUUAGGGAAGAACAAAUGUAUAAGUAACUAUGCACGUCUUGACGGUACCUAAACAGAAAGCCACGGCUAACUACGUG
rnacentral:rRNA from 1 species